rnacentral:lncRNA from 1 species
AUGAGUCAGGAGCAGGAGAGGCGGAACAAAGCUCUCUUCCACCCACAACUGCAAUGUCCUCAGAAAGCUUAAACUUAAAACUUCAGGCCUUGGUGACAUUUCUGCCUGUGCAGUGGCACAAGCCUAUAAUCCCAGUGGCUUGGGAGGAUGAGACAGGAGGAUUGUGAAUUCAAAGCCAGCCUCAGCAAUGGCAAGGCGCUUAGCAAUUCAGUGAGACUCUGUUUCUAAAUAAAAUACAAAAUAGGGCCAGGAAUGUGUCUCUGUGGUCAAGUGUCCCUGGUACCAAAAAAAAAAAGACAUUUCUCUUCUUUUUUCUGCAGUCCUCUUGUCUUACUCUCCUGAGUUCCUGAGACUACUGGGCUGUAUCACUGAACCUGGUUUCCAGUCCCUUUAAAAAUGAUGAAAAGCUGGGUACACUGAUGACCCUGUAGUUCCAGCACUUUGGAAGCUGAGGUGGGAGGAUCAGUUGAGCCCAGGAAUUGGAGACCAGCCUGGACAAUGUAGUGACACUCCAUGUUAAAAAAAAAAAAAAAAAGC